rnacentral:rRNA from 1 species
GAGUGAACGCUGGCGGCGUGCUUAACACAUGCAAGUCGAACGGACUUAGGAUGAAACCUAGUGAUUCUAAGUUAGUGGCGGACGGGUGAGUAACGCGUGGGCAACCUGCCUCAUACAGGGGGAUAACACUUAGAAAUAGGUGCUAAUACCGCAUAAGCGCACAGCUUCGCAUGGAGCAGUGUGAAAAACUCCGGUGGUAUGAGAUGGACCCGCGUCUGAUUAGCUAGUUGGUGGGGUAACGGCCUACCAAGGCGACGAUCAGUAGCCGGCCUGAGAGGGUGACCGGCCACAUUGGGACUGAGACACGGCCCAAACUCCUACGGGAGGCAGCAGUGGGGAAUAUUGCACAAUGGGGGAAACCCUGAUGCAGCAACGCCGCGUGAGUGAAGAAGUAUUUCGGUAUGUAAAGCUCUAUCAGCAGGGAAGAACAAAGACGGUACCUGACUAAGAAGCACCGGCUAAAUACGUG